CUGAGUCAAUAAUUGUUUAGUUUACAAAGGCAUGUAUACAAAGAAGUAUUCAAAAACAAAUAAUUAAUUAGUUUUAUUUUUAAUCGGACAACACAACUAUGUGCCACAACUCCUACGUUGUAUCGACACUCGCGGCCUGAGUCCCAUGCACACAUCAUCUCCAUAUCUGUUGUCCCUCCUUAUUAUAUCAGCAAAUGCUUGCUUUUAUGAUUGUUCUACAAAAAAUAAUUAUACAUAAGUAGAUAAUGUCAAGCUAAUUAUAGUAAAUAAAUUAUGAAUAUUAGUGCAUAUAUUGUAAUAAUUAUCUGUGUCUCCUCCGUAAUAUUCAUUGGUACAUGAGAUGCAUCCAUG
rnacentral:lncRNA from 1 species